CCUUCGAUAGCUCAGUUGGUAGAGCGGAGGACUGUAGUGGGUUCAUUCAGGCAUCCUUAGGUCGCUGGUUCAAAUCCGGCUCGAAGGA
rnacentral:tRNA from 1 species